rnacentral:rRNA from 1 species
AACGAACGCUGGCGGCAGGCCUAACACAUGCAAGUCGAACGCCCUAGCAAUAGGGAGUGGCAGACGGGUGAGUAACGCGUGGGAAUAUCCCCCUCAGUACGGAAUAACCCAGGGAAACUUGGAGUAAUACCGUAUACGUCCGUGAGGAGAAAGAUUUAUCGCUGAGGGAUUAGCCCGCGUAGGAUUAGCUAGUUGGUGAGGUAACGGCUCACCAAGGCGACGAUCCUUAGCUGGUCUGAGAGGACGAUCAGCCACACUGGGACUGAGACACGGCCCAGACUCCUACGGGAGGCAGCAGUGGGGAAUAUUGGACAAUGGGCGCAAGCCUGAUCCAGCCAUGCCGCGUGAGUGACGAAGGCCUUAGGGUUGUAAAGCUCUUUUGGCGGGGACGAUAAUGACGGUACCCGCAGAAUAAGCCCCGGCUAACUUCGUGCCAGCCGCCGCCGUAAUAC